rnacentral:rRNA from 1 species
GACGAACGCUGGCGGCGUGCUUAACACAUGCAAGUCGAACGGGCCUUGUCCCCUUUUUUUUGGGGGUGGGGUUAGUGGCGAACGGGUGAGUAACACGUGAGUAACCUGCCCCUCACUUCUGGAUAACCGCUUGAAAGGGUGGCUAAUACGGGGUGUUCUGGCCUGCUCGCAUGGGUGGGUUUGGAAAGAUUCGACCGGUUUUGGUUGUUUUGGUGGGGGAUGGGCUCGCGGCCUAUCAGCUUGUUGGUGGGGUGAUGGCCUGCGAAGGCUUUGACGGGUAGCCGGCCUGAGAGGGUGGGCGGUCACACUGGGACUGAGACACGGCCCAGACUCCUACGGGAGGCAGCAGUGGGGAAUAUUGCACAAUGGGCGCAAGCCUGAUGCAGCGACGCCGCGUGAGGGAUGGAGGCCUUCGGGUUGUGAACCUCUUUCGCCAGUGAAGAAGGUCCUGCUCUUUGUGGUGGGGUUGACGGUAGCUGGGUUAAUGAAGCGCCGGCUAACUACGUG